rnacentral:rRNA from 1 species
GCGACCCCAGGAUGGGCGAGGUCACCCGCCGAGUUUAAGCAUAUCAAUAAGCGGAGGAGAAGAAACUUACGAGGAUUCCCUUAGUAACGGC